rnacentral:rRNA from 1 species
UACGUAGGGUGCAAGCGUUUGUCCGGAAUUAUUGGGCGUAAAGAGCUCGUAGGCGGCUUGUUGCGUCAGCUGUGAAAACCCGCAGCUCAACUGUGGGCUUGCAGCUGAUACGGGCAGGCUUGAGUUCGGUAGGGGAGACUGGAAUUCCUGGUGUAGCGGUGGAAUGCGCAGAUAUCAGGAGGAACACCAAUAGCGAAGGCAGCUCGCUGGGACGUUUACUGACACUGAGGCGCGAAAGCGUGGGGAGCGAACAGG